GCCCACGCCGGGCGUGCUGGCUCCCCGACAGCCCAGCUCAAGGCGAACAUGCUCACGCAGUCCCCAUGGAGGCUACCGAGUGACGCGCAGACGACGACGAGGGAGAUCCCGCGGCCUGGAACCGCCUGGAGCGGACCUCUGCGAGACGGUAGGGAGCUCCCCCGACGGGCUCCCAGGCCCGGCCCCUGUCCAGGCGGCCGCAUUCUUGUCCGCAAGGGACCGGUUCUCUGCUCUUCUAGGGAAGGGCCGCUCCGCGGGUACCCCCACCGAGCAAGCCGGCUGCCAGGCGCGGUGCCUCCAAGCGGCACAGCACCGCCGGCCGCACCUGCAGGCUCCAGCUUAGUGCACGAGCUGCUACAAGUUCUCACUUCAGAUCUCCAGACUGCCUGGCUGCCCACGAUGGCACAUGAAUGUGACUGUGUGGCCGUAGCCAUCACUCUCAGUGUUACCUCGGUCUCCUUCGGAACCUCACGUCUUCAGGGGUUUUGUGGAAGCUCACCCCCUUCAAAGUGCCACCUGUUCCUCCACAGAGCGUCCAAGAUCAGAGCCUGCACACCCAGCCCUUCCUGUCUGAUCCAGAAACGGAGUCAGUGUGUCCAGGCGUUGGGGGCCACGGUGGGGUCCCUGCAGUCCUGCGCCCCAGACCCCAAAUCUCCAUCCACGACGUCUGCAACUCAAGGUCAUCUGUCCGACCAACAGUCUGUGCAACAGUUUGUGCCUGGGGUGUUAGCAAAGAAAUCGGAGACAGCCUCAUCUUGGCCCCAACUGUCACAGCAGAGACCACGAGACUGGCCCCUCAGACUCCAGCCUCACGGGAAGGUGGUGCCAACCUGAAGUCACCAGCUCUACCCACAGGGUCACAGGCUGCCUGGACUGCUGUGGGCAGCAUUUCACGUUCGCUACCCACACUCCCAGGACUCGACCACAGAAUCGGCCCCACGUACUUGGGCAUGCAGCUCAGGGAAGCCUUCGUGACCUCCAGCCUCAGUUUCCCCAUGGGCAAGCUGUCCAUUCGGUGCCAGCUGAGGCUCCCAAGUAUAAAUGGGCUACAUUUUAAAGAAACAGUGAAAAGGAACUGAAAGCAAAUUUUUCUGCCAACUACAUUCCUUUCGCCUCCCCUUCCCAAGCCCACAAGGGCUGCCACAUGCCUCUGCCUGUCACGCUGCCAUCCGCCACAUCUUGCUGUCCUCCCGUUCCUCCUUUGAGACUCUCCUGGCUGGCUCACUGCCCUGACCCGGCCAUACAUGCUGUCUUUCUAAAACGGAAAGUACUCUUUUUCUGUUUCUGGGAAUAUCUGAAGGGGUUCCACCUUCCCCCCAAACCCCUCGGCGCCUGCCAACUACACCGUCCCUCGCACAUGGUGGGCUGGCCAGGCAUCAGGGUCCCAGCCCUGCACCCGUGUCCCCAGCUCCCUGCCGCUGCCUUCCUGGGCAUCGGUCCCCUAAUGAAUAAAGGAGGAGGAGCCCAGGGUGCUGUAGGAUUGAAGGGGCACCACACACAUCACUGCUCAGAGCAUGUGCUGCUCUCGUGACAGCUCUUAUGUGGGGCUGCUGUCAGGGCCCGUGUCUCCAGCUCCCCCAGCGCCUCGCAGCCCAUCACAGAAAGUCCUGUGGGGACAGGGCCCGGCAGAGGGCCAGACCAUUGUCCUUAUGUCCUCAGGGGGCAAGACCUCUGGCAAAUGAAUGGUAGAUGGUGACAUGCUGCUCCAUCAUGAGAUUAAUCUUAAAAUAGCAUUUGUUCUGGCCAAUAGGAUGAGAAAACGCUGCAGGCGUUUUGUUGCUAUCUGAUUUCUAACGCGUCCAGGAAGAGAUGCACGUACCCCCACCCAACUUACAUCACUUGGCCUCCAACACCCGCAGGGCCUCGGAUUUCAGAUGCCUGAUUCUGCAGUGCUCCCUCCAGGACCACAGUUUCCACAGCACAUACCGCCAGGAAGAGCAGAGCAACCAGGAGGUGGGCCCAGAACAGUAGACUCCAAGCCCCCACAGCACGCACAGAGACACUCACAGCCACCGUCACACAGGUGGGCAGAGGAGGAGAUCCCCACCACGUCUCAUCCCUGCUGGCCUGGGUGCCCCUUCUGCGCUCCCCUCACUGCAGUCUCUCCCAGCUGGAAGUCCGACAACCUGCCCCCCACACCCUGAACCAGCUCGUGCAAGGGAUCCCUGUGAAAAUCCACGUUUGAUGAACAGAGGAAAGGCAGCUUAGGGGAUUUCUUGGCAAGGAUGUCAAUGAGGCGUGACCAAAAAAGUAGGAGUCAUUUCCAAAGAGGGCAAAUGACCUCUGGUGUGGGCCCAGCUGGCCAGCCCCCAGACCGCCACACAGGGCUCCAUGACCUGCCCCUGCCCCACCUGCUUCAGUGAUCUCUUCUCCCCUGGCUUCCUGUCGACCGUCCCACAGACACUGACUAACCAAGAGGAAGAGAGGGAAGACUCAGGACUGCCCUCUCAAGCACCUAGCAUCACCUUCACACACGCUAACAUCUCAGACUCAGCUGUGGACAACCUUGUCCUACAAACAAGAAAACCUAUGUUCACAGACACUAAGGCACUGCUCCAAGGUCAACAGAUGUUCCUGGUCUGCUCUCUGAUCCUGCCUGCCAGGCUUCGAGACACAGCAGCACUGAAACCAGCACAAACAAGCAGUGGCUGGUAUUUUAAACAGAACUGCCAGUUCAACAGUACCGAUAAAUUGGACAAAAACUCUUUCAUUGAAACACAGACUGAAGUCCAGAAGGACAAGGAGAAAACCCCAGUGAAAGAGCAAGAGUACAAAUGACAGUGGACAGUUUCAGAUGCCCCACGAGCCAGCAGGUUUGAAGGCAGCAUUAUUACCUGUCUGCUCUGGGGCUGCUGAUCAAACCUGUGGCAUAGAUCAUUGGUAACUCAAUCAACCCAAUGUGGACAUUCUGAUCAUUCUAAUAUGGCGGCACAGAAUGACCAGGAUUAGUCACACUGGGGCACAAAACACACCCUCUUUCCAUUCCUGUGUUCUUUACACCUCCUUCCUCAAAACCCAGUGUUUCCUCCUAGACAAGAGGCAUAACACAGCCAAAUUCAUUGUGAUCCUGUAGACAUUCUCAACAUCAACGUGCUCUGGGCUAGCAAUCUAAUGUGCAUUGAUAUCUUUUUGCUGCUCUCAACACAAACGUUCGUGCACAGCUGCUUCUGGAAUGCAGCACCUCAUGACCAAGGGCAUCCUGCUCCGAGUGUCCCUACAGUCUCCAGUGCACAGCCCUUUAGGGAGGGCUGUCACCCAACCUGCCAUCAGGGGGCAGCGAAGAGUGACAGCAGUCUAAUCAAGAAGGAAUGGUCAGGAAUGCCCGGAGCACAGGGUGCAGUAUUGCCUAUAAAGCGCUUUUAUGUGCACACAAGAGUGUGCCCUGUGCAAACUUCUUAGUCACCAACUCUUCUGCUGAAGAAGUGCUUUCAGUGGCUUAGCUAAAAUGAGGGGCUGGCAGAUUGAUCAGAGUUACACAUGAGAAAAAUUGUGCCCACCGUUUGUUUUUUUUUUUAGGAAAAAAUGUUACCAAACAACCUUAAUCUUAGAAUUCAACGUAAAAUAAACAACAAUUUUGUUUUCAA